rnacentral:sRNA from 1 species
AGAAAUACCCAAACACAGAACGCUCUCUCCGCCGUGAAUCUCGAUCCCCCAUCCCGUCGGCUUUCUUCAACCUCUCUUCCCGGAGCGCCCCCCCCAGUCCACGAGUGGCAGCCGCGGGACUGUCGCGUCGGCGCCCGACGCCGGAGUCAGCAGGGCGCAAAAGCGCCGAUUGUUACAGAGCAGCAAACUGGGCAGAAAAUCCAGAUUGUGACAGCACUUGAUCGUACUACCCAAGGCAAGCAGUUCAUUCUGACGAAUCACGACGGCUCUACUCCAAGCAAAGUCAUUCUGGCCAGGCAAGAUUCCACUCCGGGAAAAGUUUUCCUUACAACUCCAGAUGCAGCAGGUGUCAACCAGUUAUUUUUUACCACUCCUGAUCUGUCUGCACAACACAUGCAGCUCCUAACAGAUAAUUCUUCUCCAGACCAAGGACCAAAUAAGGUUUUUGAUCUUUGCGUAGUAUGUGGAGACAAAGCAUCAGGACGUCAUUAUGGAGCAGUAACUUGUGAAGGCUGCAAAGGAUUUUUUAAAAGAAGCAUCCGAAAAAAUUUAGUAUAUGCAU